rnacentral:tRNA from 1 species
GAUGACUUAGCUCAAUUGGUAGAGCAGUACUCUGAUACGGUACAGGUUGACAGUUCGAGUCUGUCAGUCAUCACAA